rnacentral:rRNA from 1 species
AGUGAACGCUGGCGGUAGGCCUAACACAUGCAAGUCGAACGGCAGCACAGUAAGAGCUUGCUCUUACGGGUGGCGAGUGGCGGACGGGUGAGGAAUACAUCGGAAUCUACUUUUUCGUGGGGGAUAACGUAGGGAAACUUACGCUAAUACCGCAUACGACCUACGGGUGAAAGCAGGGGAUCUUCGGACCUUGCGCGAUUGAAUGAGCCGAUGUCGGAUUAGCUAGUUGGCGGGGUAAAGGCCCACCACGGCGACGAUCCGUAGCUGGUCUGAGAGGAUGAUCAGCCACACUGGAACUGAGACACGGUCCAGACUCCUACGGGAGGCAGCAGUGGGGAAUAUUGGACAAUGGGCGCAAGCCUGAUCCAGCCAUACCGCGUGGGUGAAGAAGGCGUUCGGGUUGUAAAGCCCUUUUGUUGGGAAAGAAAAGCAGCAGGUUAAUACCCCGCUGUUCUGACGGUACCCAAAGAAUAAGCACCGGCUAACUUCGUG